rnacentral:tRNA from 1 species
GCCGGUGUAGCACAGUGGCAGUGCAGCUGAUUCGUAAUCAGCAGGUCAGCGGUUCGAAUCCGCUCACCGGCU